CUCCAGAUCUCGCGAGACUCGGGUGCCUCAAACCGGAUCCGCCCCGGGCGCGAAACCUCGCUCUCCCCGCUGCGGGUCCGCUAGGGCUUCGCCGCACGGUGUGCUGGCGAGCCAGACCCAAGUUAGCCAGUGGGCCAGAGGGUUAGCCAGAGUCGAAAACUAGGAAAUGAUGUUAGACAAAAAGUAAAUUUGAGCAAUUUUCUUAUUCGAGUUCAAAAUGGGUCAUAAAGCAGCAGCAACAACUCUGAAACAUCAACAAAUUUGGCCCAGGAACUGCUGACGAACAUACAGUGCAGUGGUGGUUUAAGAAGUUUUGCAAGGGAGAUGAGAGCCUUGAAGAUGAGAAGUUCAGUGGUUGGCCAUCAGAAGUUGAUAACGAUCAACUGAGAACAAUCAUCAAAGCUAAACUUCUUACAACUAUACAAGAAGUUGCUGAAGAACUCAGCGUCGACCAUUCUAUGGUCAUUUGGCACUUGAAGCAAAUUGGAAAGGUGAAAAAGCUCGAUAAGCGGGUGCCUCAUGAACUGACCAAAAAUAAAAAAAAAACGUCAUUUUGAAGUGUCAUUUCUCUUAUACUGCGCAACAGCAACGAACCAUUUCUCGGUCAGAUUGUGACAUGCGACAAAAAGUGGAUUUUAUAUGACAACCAGCUCAGUGGUUGGACUGAGAAGAAGCUCCAAAGCACUUCCCAAAGCCAAGCUUGCACCAAAAAAAGGUCAUGGUCACUGUUUGGUGGUCUGCUGCCAGUCUGAUCCACUGCAGCUUUUUGAAUCUCUGGGACACCAUUACACCUGAGAAGUAUGCUCAGCAAAUUGAUAAGAUGCACCAGAAACUGCAAUGCCUGCAGCUGGCAUUGGUCAACAAAAAGGUCCCAGUUUUUCUCCACAAGAAUGCCCAACUGCACAUCGCACAACCAAUGCUUGAGAAGUUGAACGAAUUGGGAUACAAAGUUUUGCCUCAUCCGCCACAUUCACCUGACCUCUUGCCAACCAACUACCACUUCUUCAAGCAUCUCAACAAAUUUUUGCAGGGAAAACACUUCCACAACCAGCAGGAGGCAGAAAAUGUUUUCCAGGAGUUCAUAGGAUCCCAAAGCAUGGAUUUUUAUGCCACAGGAAUAAACAAACUUAUUUCUUGUUGGCAAAAAUAUGUUGAUUGUAAUGGUUCCUAUUUUGGUUAAUAAAGAUGUGUUUGAGUCUAGUUAUAAUGAUUUAAAAUUCAUGGUCCAAAACCACAAUUACUUUUGCACCAACCUAAAUAGCAUACAUUUUGCUAGCCAUCCAGAGUGGACAACUCUUCAUUUUAUUGUAAUUUAUAAACUGAUCUAGUAAAUAAAGGCUAUAUAGUAAAAUUUAA